rnacentral:sRNA from 1 species
GUCAACGAUCCCCACGCAUGAAUGCGGGGGCUUGUCCCUUGUGUUGAUGCCGUCUUCGUUGUCCAGCCGAGGUACCAGAGCCCGCAGGCAAGGCGCUGAUUGGUACCAGCGUUGCGCUCGUCACGACACCUCGUUGUGCUUCCUCAGCAGCGAGCGCUGUCGCUCAGCGUUAAAAGCACCCGUCGGGGUACGGGUCGGUGCGUUGAGCCGAACAAGCGAGAGCAACACCGGCGAGGGGAGCGUCCUGAGUCAGCCUGCUCAGGACCGUUACACAGCCCGGUAACGGG